rnacentral:lncRNA from 1 species
GUCAGAGUGUGCACCUCACUUUGGCCCUGACCCCUCAAGGGGCUCUUCAUCGAAACGACAGCUUGUCCAUGGCACCCUGCUGUCCUGUGUGCUCCAGGCCUGGGGAGUUACUUCCUGUUCCAAGUUACAACUAAGGCCAGAGACCUC